GUGACGUAAAUAAUGUCUUUGCUAACACAGUAAAAUGUGGUUACGCAUGGAAGAACUUUGAGCACCGAUGUACAAUGUAUGUAAUCAUCAAAUAUACUUUUAAACGCCAAAUUUCUGGUGAUUGAAUUGGAAAAUUUUACUCUAUAGUGAUUAAAUAAUUUCCUGUACAUACUUAAAGGUGGGAAAUAUUUAUCCAGCGCAGCAAAGAAUUUCCAAGAAAGAAUAUCAGAUGACACUGGCGUCAAAGGAAUUUUUAUACUUCAGAUACAUCAUCAUUAUUUAUCAUCUUUUAAAAACUAAAGGCAAGAUGUUAUACUGAAUAGACUGAUAUAGUCCUCUUUAUAGAAAUUUAUGGUCGAAUUACUACAAAAUAUUUCUUCUGAAUGAGAUUAAUAACAAAGAUUUCUCUACUUCACUAUUUGGAAUGUGUGGAACAAAAUGAUUUUGUUUUCAAAUAAACUUGGUCAAAUUUAUCAAGAAGUUUGUAGCCUCUUUAGAUAUCAGCAAAGACCACAGUUGUACAGUUGAUAGAGAUAUAUCCGAAAAAAUAUUUGUUAGUAUUAAAUAAGGAGAAAGCUAUUGUAUGGUGCUGAAUGAAAGAAAAUUAUGGAAAGUGAAUUAUGUAAGAACAAGGUAAAAUUUCAAACAGUGAGAAGGACUGAUUUUUCUGGAGAGGGAGUCAAAAUAUAUCACUGUGAAGUCUGUAAAAAAUCAUUCUCUCAUAAAGGAAACCUAACUACCCACAAACAUAUUCAU
rnacentral:lncRNA from 1 species